GAGAAGAACGUAGCGAAAUGCGAUAAGUAGUGUGAAUUGCAGAAUUCAGUGAAUCAUCGAAUCUUUGAACGCACAUUGCGCCCUUUGGUAUUCCAAAGGGCAUGCCUGUUCGAGCGUCAUUUGUACCCUCAAGCUUUGCUUGGUGUUGGGCGUCUUGUCUCUAGCUUUGCUGGAGACUCGCCUUAAAGUAAUUGGCAGCCGGCCUACUGGUUUCGGAGCGCAGCACAAGUCGCACUCUCUAUCAGCAAAGGUCUAGCAUCCAUUAAGCCUUUUUUUCAACUUUUGACCUCGGAUCAGGUAGGGAUACCCGCUGAACUUAAGCAUAUCAAUAAGCGGAGGA
rnacentral:misc_RNA from 1 species